rnacentral:tRNA from 1 species
GGGCCCGUAGCUUAGCCUGGUUAGAGCGUCGGUCUUAUAAACCGAAGGUCCGGGGUUCGAAUCCCCGCGGGCCCA